UUGGUUGCUAUGGGCAACUGGGCAACUUUUCCUCUGGACAGGUUUUGAUAAAUCUCCCUCAUGGUCUUUUUUAUAGUUUAUUUUAUUUAGUAACAAUAUAAUGUUUUUAGUCAUUGUAUGGCGGUAUUAUUUGUUCCUACUGGCAAAACACAAAACUAGCAGUGUGCACCUGUGCACGUGUUUAAUUUGUUUAGAGAUGCUAACAAUUUUAGUUUUUUGUACUGGUAUUAUUGCUUAUAUUGGACUUAGUUUUGUUUAGAUAUGGUCAUUACAGUAUGGCGGUAAUAUGUAUGUUGAUAAUAUUUUUCCUUGUAUACUGUGCGUGAUUGGGUGUGAAUGAGGGUGUAGUUAUGGGCGUGACUGGGUUGUGGUUAGGGGCAUGGCUUGGGCUCUAGCCACGAUGGACACUAUGACCUUGUGGACCUGCACUGUCUUGACGGAAAUUAAUUUUGCACAAAAUGCCGCCAAAAGAGUUCGGAAAUGAAAUUUCCACACCAGAAAAUUCUGCCGAGUGUUAGCAGAAAAAUCUUACUGAAAACAAUGGGAGCCUGCUGCAAGUGAAAUUUCCAUCAUGUGCAUGGGCUCUUAGGGUGCGCUCACAUAGCAUUUUUGUUUCCGUUUAACAUAGUUUUUAAGGGGAAAAAAAAUGCCUUGCGGCUUCGGAGGAAGAGCUGAAUAAGCACUUUACCCCUGCCCAAUGGCAGAAAUGUUCCUCCCUCUCCCAUAAAUCAGUGAUUGCUAAUAGAUCUCAGAAAACCAACUACAAAAUUCUUGCUCGUUGAUACCAGGUUCCUGCUCAUUAAUGGUACCCCAUGGUUCCAGAUACCUGAUGGCACUGUGGCCUCUCAGUGGGGACUAUGUCUCAUAUUUGGUGGUCUUGUCCCUCUUUGACUGCCUUUUGGUCUACUAUACUAAGUAUCAUCUGUGAAGUUACGGGAACUACAGUCCCAAGAUCACCUUGCUAUUUAUGUUCGAGAUGUCUCACUCCACCUUUAAGGAGUCCUUGCUGCAGGGGCGUUAUUCCCGCAUAGGUGGUGGUCCCCUGACCCUCCCACUAUUGGAGAGAAAGUAGCACACCUGCAACAUAUGGAGGAACUGAUUGCCUUGACCCCUGCUGAAACUGAUCGCGGCGGUAGAACGUGGCUUCCCUGGAUGUCCUUCCAGGCCUCCCCAGGACAACCGUCUGGAAGCUGAAGCUGCAGGUGCUGGCCCCCAAGAGGGAGAAGUGUGUGAGGAAAAUGAGCUCCAUUUGGGACGAUUCUUCCAAGCCGGACCGUGCGGAUUCCAGGACUGCUUCUAUGGUAUCAUUUCUUGCGGAGGGGUCCUGGCCUUUGCAGAAUCCCAUCUAAAAACAAUCUCUGCGGUGCAUAUCAAAGGGGAUCUCAAUAUCAGGGCAGACUUUCUAAGCCGCCAAUCGGAAUGGCAGUUAAAUCCAAAAAUAUUUUUCAAGAUCACAGCCUUAUGGGGAACCCUUCAAGUGGAUCUUUUUGCCACCAGGCACAACAGACAGGUCAAAGACUUUCUUUCCCUAAAUCCAGCAGACAGACCCUUGGCAGUGGACGCACUAUCUCAGACUUCGAAAUGGGACUUGGCCUACGCCUUUCCUCCCCUGGCUCUUAUUCCCAGCGUUAUAAGAAAGAUCAAAGAGGACAGAGCAACAGUUAUACUUAUCGCUCCAUUCUGGCCACGGAGAGCACGGUUCUCCUGUCUGAGGACUAUGUCUCUAACAGACCCCUGGGUUCUCCCGGAAAUCCAGGAUCUUCUCAGCCAAGGCCUGGUCCUUCAUCCAGAUGUCCGCAACCUUUAUCUGACAGCUUGGCUCUUGAAAGGAUAAUCUUGAAGCCCAAGGGUCUGUCAGACGCAGUCAUAUGCACUUUACAAUACAGUAGAAAACCAGUGACUACAAAGAUUUAUUUUAGAAUUUGGAAAAAGUUUUAGUCAUUUUCAGAUUCUACAGUUUUUGAUUUGGAUAAGCCAAAUUAUGCCUUUAGCCUUAAUUUUUUUUACAAAGAGGACUUGAGAAAUCUGCCAGGAGAGUAGGGGAGCUAGCGGCCUUAUCUAGAGAUGAGCGAACUUACAGUAAAUUCGAUUAGUCACGAACUUCU